GAUGAACGCUGGCGGCGUGCCUAAUACAUGCAAGUCGAGCGAGCGGACGAGAAGCUUGCUUCUCUGAUGUUAGCGGCGGACGGGUGAGUAACACGUGGAUAACCUACCUAUAAGACUGGGAUAACUUCGGGAAACCGGAGCUAAUACCGGAUGAUAUUUUGAACCGCAUGGUUCAAAAGUGAAAGACGGUCUUGCUGUCACUUAUAGAUGGAUCCGCGCUGCAUUAGCUAGUUGGUAAGGUAACGGCUUACCAAGGCAACGAUGCAUAGCCGACCUGAGAGGGUGAUCGGCCACACUGGAACUGAGACACGGUCCAGACUUCUACGGGAGGCAGCAGUAGGGAAUCUUCCGCAAUGGGCGAAAGCCUGACGGAGCAACGCCGCGUGAGUGAUGAAGGUCUUCGGAUCGUAAAACUCUGUUAUUAGGGAAGAACAUAUGUGUAAGUAACUGUGCACAUCUUGACGGUACCUAAUCAGAAAGCCACGGCUAACUACGUG
rnacentral:rRNA from 1 species